AAAAGCUCUGGGAGUCAUAGAGGGAUGUGAUGUUGUCAUAGCCUAGAGGUGGCCAUUGGGUCCCUCCCAGAGAACCUGCUGAGGUGGCAACUGUGAUAGGAGGUGUCCCAUAAGAUCAUGCCUGGGGCUGGACAGAAGCCACAGCAUCAGCAGCUGAUGGAGAAGUAGAGGCGGCACUUACUUGUCCUCGGGACUCACUGUGAUCCAGGUCCUGGGAAACUCGUAAAUCACUAUUUGUAUGACCCCAGCAACAGACUCUCAGAAGAUGAAAUGAGUGCAUAGAAGAUGAGCCUGAGGAUACAGGAGGCUGAGAAGAUAUCCCUGAGCCAGGUCUCCCACAAGUCUCCAUUGUCCUUGUGCAGCUAGCCUACGGACCCAGCUUGGAGGUUUACUCGUGAUUAUGAGACAGGCCGGCUGUUCCUCUUGGCAGCUGACUGAUGAGGGAGAUGGAGAAGAGCAAGAGAGAAAGACUUGUUAGGAGAAAUCUGCAAUGGCUGAACGGCUGAAGGGAGAGGUUUCUGAGAAAUGGAAAAGCCCACUGCACCAGAGAACAAAACAUACUUGGGAUGGGGACUUGGAGAUGAUAAGCCCUCUCUACCUGGUGAGGUAGCCCUGCACAAGGCACUUAACAUAAAGAACUUCUACAGGUAGACAAGAGAAAGACCCAGUAGGAGUCUAAGCAGACCACAGACCACUCUAGGGAAGCUAGUGGCAAGCAGGUGGAUGUCAAGCUGGAAGUGGCCUGUGCUGGUGAGGGUGCUGCCAAGAGCCUCCAAAAAUGAACUAAGCUCCUGUCCUGCCUGCUACUAAGUUUAGGCUUCUCCAUAUUGUGUGAAGAGGAGUGUGCACCACUUUCCAGCAUGGUCGGUCGGCACCUCCAUCCCUAUCAGUAGGGCAUUGCUUUGGAAGAUAUCAUGUAAUAAGCAACACAGAGGCCUAUCUCCCACAUCACUGUUACUGGGCCCUUUCUGGAAUCUUGGCAUCAGCAUGACAAUGCCAGAGCUCUCCCCACUGUCCUGCUGUCUUCAACAAAUCUUCUAGAACAGGCACCUACCAUGGUACCCUCCCUUCACCAUGGCCUGGGAGUUUCCUGAAGCCACGCUUGUGCUUACACACCACUCUGCUUUCCAGGACCAGGUUGGCCUUUCCCAAUCAUCUCACCCCACUCAGAAAGCAGCCAGCAUCCUCAGGGUCCCACAUGCCAAUCUCCUAUCUCCUCUAUACUCUCACCAAGUUCUAACUCCCGAAUCCUAGAGGUGAAGCCCCUCUGCUGGCCUCCUCCCAUACUGCUGUCUGCUGACCCGUCUAUGGUCUUCCUCUGGCCAAGUCCAAAGACCGUGGUAUAGAGCUGAGCAGAGGCCACACGGAAGUCCACUGAAAGUCUAGAUGUCAACUGCAGCUCCACACUGUGGACACACCCCUCAGCUCCCUAGGAGUGGUCUGGACACAAUUCCAUAGAAAUGUUAAGUGACCAUUUAACUUUUCCAAGGAUGAGGUUCCUACAGAGUCUCUGAGAAGUUCUUCCUUUAACUUUCCAGGGCUAACUGAUGUGUUGGUCGUAUAAUAAAUGCUGAGAACAUUG